GAUCGUCAGAUCAGCUGUGUCGCGCUUGCAUACAGGUUAUCUGCGUGUUGAACCACAUGACCCCAGACGCUGUAAUAUUGGUGGUACCAAUCGUUUCAUCCGUAUAGUUAGACGGUGUCUUCUGUCUCCGGUAACAGCAUGUACUACGGCUGGCGUGGACCCCCCAUAGCUAAGGAUCCCACUCGCCGCCAACACCAGCUGUGAUUUCCUUCCCUAUCACUACCUGCACCACCACCAGCUGUGACUGGCCCUCACCAUCACCAGCUGUGACUGGCCUCACCAUCACCAGC